UAUAUGUAUGUAUGUAUAUGUAUGUAUUUGCUUCAUGAUUUUGCAUAUACUUAUUGGAGGAAACUGGGGAAGUUUUACAUACAUGGAGGAAUUACCAAAUCGUGUACAACUAGAAUACAAAAGAAAGGGGUAUGGGAAGCAAAGGUUGUAAUAUAUAACGUAUAGCAGAUAGUGACUCAAGGUGACAACAUUUGUUGGAUGCAUAUGCUAAUCAUGCUAUCUAUUUAAAGAUCUUCUGGUAAACGACGAUGCCUCAUCCAUUGCUCAACAUCGCGGCCUCUGAGUUGCAUUUCUAGCCUUCUGCAAGUGAUAGGUAUUAUACUACAAUUGGCAAGACAUCAAAUUAUUCAUGAGCUGUCACUGCAGAGAUUGUCCAAUUAGCAGAGGCAGGAUCCUGAAUAAUCUGGGAAUAUACUGCACAAGGAUCGCUGCACGCAGAAGAUUCUUUGCAUAGUUUGCUCCUGAUGCCCC